UCGUCCAAGAAAUUAAUAAGAUGAUGAUGCAUAUUCUCAAGAGUUGAGAAUUUGAGCCAUGUAUCAUUAGUGAUUAAUUUCUAAAUGCUCCUGAUCAAUGGAUCAUCAUGAGGACGGUGAUCGAUCCGAUCAGUGCACAGAUCACUUUCCUUCUGGAUGGACGAGACUUGAGUCCAUAGUAUAGGGACACUGAAGUGAUAGUGCAGGUGCUUGUUACAGAACAAGGGUACUGAGCGUGACCAAGACAAGAAGUCACUUGGAUGUCUAUCCACUCGUCAGUGACUUGCUUGAUGUUGUAGUAGUAUGACUGGUCCUUUGAC
rnacentral:lncRNA from 1 species